rnacentral:rRNA from 1 species
UACGUAGGGUGCGAGAGUUAAUCGGAAUUACUGGGCGUAAAGCGUGCGCAGGCGGUGAGCUGUGUCCGAUGUGAAAGCCCCGGGCUUAACCUGGGAAUGGCAUUGGAAACUGGCUCGCUGGAGUGUGGCAGAGGGGGGUGGAAUUCCGCGUGUAGCGGUGAAAUGCGUAGAUAUCUGGAGGAACACCGGUGGCGAAGGCGGCAUCCUGGACCAAUUCUGACGCUGAGGAGCGAAAGCCAGGGGAGCAAACGGG